rnacentral:lncRNA from 1 species
AUAUACUGCAACUCAGCAAUUGGGUUUACAAAACUGGUCAUCUCAGAAAGAGAAGAUUAUACAGUUUUAUAAUCAACUUCAGGUUUGUGUUGGUGUGAUGUUAGUGGGCCCAACAGGUGGAGGAAAGACAACAGUCAGAAGAAUUUUGGAAAAAGCAUUAACGCUAUUACCAAUUGCAGACUUCUUAUCAGUUGCAGAAAGAAAAUCUGCUUCAAAGAUUUUGAUUGGCAGUGGAUUAUCCUAGAUGGCCCAGUGGACACCUUUUGGGUAGAAAAUCUGAACUCUGUGCUAGAUGAUACUAGAACAUUGUGCCUAGCAAACAGUGAGAGAAUAGCUUUAACUAAUAAAAUAAG